GCUUCUUUUUGGACACAUACUCGAGCAAGUGAGCUGGCCAAUUAAAACUCAUCCGCCCAGCGAUUGACCGGCGGCUCUUCCCGAGCCAACUGGGUUUGGCUUCUUAGCUUUGGAAAAGGACGGCUGGAAAACCGAAAAAAAAAAGGACGCUGGGGUCUCUCGCCACGUGAGUUGUCCCGGCCGCCACGUGGAGGAGACGAAAAAGAAGAAGGCGAAGAAUCCGCAAAGAAAGUCACAAUGCGGCGAGAGUGAGAGACAGAAGACAAAAUCAACGGGAGGAUGGACUCUUGUUUACCUUUGCAUCACAUCGCAAAGCGUGUGCGGAGGCAUGCGAAAGCCUGAGCAGCUUGCUCGUUUGGGACCUCACGCCAGUUUUGAUCAAUGAAGCAGCAAACGAGCCAACGAUUGCGCAGAUGACAACCUGACGACCUUGUACCUGAACAUAAAAUACAAGAACAUGUGUUCAUACAGCAUUCCCAACGAGAGACCAGACCCUUCGCCAAGGCCAAACAACCAAUUGUAUAAUGUACGUAUACAAUCUAUGUAUACUGAUCGUCUCCAAAGAGAUGUCCUAUCUGGUGUUGACUUUGCCCGCAGGUAAACCGGUUACACUGAAAAGAAGCGAGCGAUUUGCGGAAACCAAUGCGCUCCAUUGAUUGUUAUCAAUGCUCGGGCAGCCCACUGUACAAGGUAUGUUGCCCUUUUUCCUGCUUACCACACUCAAACGCGUAUCCCUCAAUCAAAUGACUCAAGUACAAUUUAAUUUUUAGUUGGGAUCUUGAUCGAAUAACUACUACUUUGAAGAACAAAAAAAAAAGUUGGAAGGUUACGCAAGAGCAGUGCAAGUUGCUGUAGGGAAUUAACAUGCUCCUCAGAGUGAAAAACAAUAUUAAAUAUGUAAAAACCAA